CGUUUACAUAAUCCAGCCCCAGGAUCCCUGCCACGGCGGGAAAUCCAUCCUUCCAUAUUUCCAGGAAGAAGGCUGACUCCAUGGAGCCAAGCAAAAUUGUUCU